UGACUGCUAUAUACGAGGUCUUGGGUUCGAUUCCCGGGUCGGGACGAAAUCGCUUUGUGGGUUUUAGAAACUUUCACAAAGCAGCCUUUAGUCUGGGGAUUGAGGAUUAGUUCACUCGUGCAUCGGAGAGCACGUAAAUGUCGCUUCUGACGUUAACGUAAUGUCAGUGGCGGCAAGAAGAUCUUUUAAUUUGCAGGUGUUGGGGCACAUUAGGCAGCAUUGUUUGUGGUUGUGGUGCGGCAAUCUGCUGUCGUCAGCAUAGCCUUACCUAGAUAGAUUAACCUUGCAUCUGCCGACUGGUGUACGUAGUCUGUUAGGGACUUCCAUACAGGACACGCUAAUUCAUGACUGAUGGGAGUCGUUCUACGGGUGGUAUGAAAUCAGUUGGUGUUACACGUCAGUGCCCUAUCCAGGUUUACGCCCAGGGACCUUGGGCAGUUCAUGUGCGCGAUACGUACGGCUCUCCAAGCGACAUCUAUCUCGUGGUUAGCCAUGCGGUUGCGUAGAUGGUAGGCACAAGACGUGAGUUUUGGCAGGAUUGGGUGUUAGGGUGUUUUCCUUGUAGCAGCAGUCUCGUUCCUUCAGAGCCGCAGAGAGCCCGGUCUCAAUCUCUUCAAACGGCCAGCAUAGAUAUAGCUGGUGGUAUUAGGUGGUUUCGGCUGAUCGUUUGGUUCUAUUUGGUCUCAAACCAGAUAGCGCUUGAUGGAGGCGUUAUGUAUGUUGAUUUGCGUGCUUGAUGGAGGCACUGUGUAGAAUCACGAUAUGUGUUGAGAUGUUGAUGUGUGAUUAAUGAUGGUAG